UUUGGGAUUCGGUGCCACUAAAAAGAUACUUAGUAGAGAAAAGAACCUACACAUCUUGGAAUGACAUCAGGGCCAUUUCUGGUCACUGAGAAGUGAUUCCAUGUAGAUCCAGGUUGCCAGGGAGGAAUGAACAUGUGGUACACAUGUGGACGGGACAAGCCCAUGUGAGAAAAUAAGGGCCUCCCCCAUGAUUGCUGGAGACUCUCUCGGGUCUGAG
rnacentral:lncRNA from 1 species